UUUUUUUUUUUUUUUAGGACAGCCUGGUUUUGACACUGCUAAGUCUUUUGAGAAAGGAUUUGAGAAAUCCAAGCUGAAUUCUGUCAUAACUAUACUCAGUAUCAUUUGGGACACCCAGGUUUCAUAUAGUAACCUAGGUGAGUGAACCUCCCUUCAACAGGGUUUAAUAAGACUGUGGUCAGCCAGCUAGAACUACCCUUAGCUUGGUAUAAAGUCCAAAGCUGCAGGUAAAUUCAACAGAGGUGUUUAUGAAUCAAGUGCUGAUGGAGAUCCUCCGCCCUCCAUCAGCUGAAAGCUUAACUGCAAAGGUAUGAAGAAUAAAUUGUGUAUCGUCAUAUGUUCCUGUGGAAUUGUGUAACAAUGAAUUAUGGAUUUUGAGCUACUGAUAUGUUUUGGAUUCUCUUUGCUGCUUAUAUUCAGGGUAAAUAAAGUCUGUAAUAUUCACGUUAUUUUUUUAAACCUAAGCCUCAGCUCAAUAGAGGCUUCUUAUGUCUUUGGUCAAGAAAGUGUAUUAUCCCGAGAAUUAGCUAGUAGGUUAUUUCCUUCUAUAGAUACUUUCUCACCAGUCAGGCGUUGAGUGAGCCAGCCUUACAAAGGUAGAAUCAUUUCAACAUUCGCAUCUCAUUCGUGUGAUGGAAUGCCUCAAUUCCAAAAUUAGAGACUCUACAAGAAUCAUUUAUGUCAUAUUAGCUUACCUGUAGGUACUUGUAGGUACCUGUAGGUACUUUAUUGUGUAAAAAGAUUCACUUCAACGUCUUUUCCAAGGUAAGCAUGCUAAAGGGUUACCAGUUC